GAAAAUAUAGUGACGGAGACACACUAGUCGCAAGGAAAUCCAAAGAGAGCUGAUGGUUGGUGUAAAUCAGUGAUUUCUACGAUGUAGUUCCACUCCCGAAUAGAUAAGCUGAAAAAUUCCCAAGUAUGCUUGUCCGUCACAUGCACGUUACGCAUAUAGCCAAGACUGUACUGAAUUAUUUUAUUUUUCGGGCAGUGAUUAAGGGUGGUACCGCGAACCAAGAUUAUUUAGCCUUUCGCCCCUUAC
rnacentral:ncRNA from 1 species